UACGUAGGCAGCAAGCGUUGUUCGGAAUUACUGGGCGUAAAGAGUGUGUAGGCGGUGUUCUAAGUCUGUUGUGAAAUCUCCCGGCUUAACUGGGAGGGUGCGCCGGAAACUGGAGUGCUCGAGCGUGGGAGAGGAAAGCGGAAUUCCUGGUGUAGCGGUGAAAUGCGUAGAUAUCAGGAGGAACACCUGCGGUGUAGACGGCUUUCUGGACCAUUGCUGACGCUGAGACACGAAAGCGUGGGUAGCAAACAGG
rnacentral:rRNA from 1 species